GUGUCAGCAGCCGCGGUAAGACGAACCGUGCGAACGUUGUUCGGAAUCACUGGGCUUAAAGGGCGCGUAGGCGGACCGUCGAGUCCGGGGUGAAAUCGUUCGGCUUAACCGGACAAGGGCCUCGGAGACCGGCGGCCUCGAGGGAGGUAGGGGCACGCGGAACUUCCGGUGGAGCGGUGAAAUGCGUUGAUAUCGGAAGGAACGCCGGUGGCGAAAGCGGCGUGCUGGAUCUCUUCUGACGCUGAGGCGCGAAAGCCAGGGGAGCGAACGGGAUUAGAUACCCCAGUAGUCC
rnacentral:rRNA from 1 species